AGUAACACGUGGUCAACCUUCCGUUUUGUGGGGGAUAACUAGCCGAAAGGUUAGCUAAUACCGCAUACGAUCUACAGCGGGCAUCCGCAGUAGAUGAAAGGAGCAAUUCGCAAAACGACGGGACCGCGUCCCAUUAGCUAGAUGGUGGGGUAAUGGCCUACCAUGGCUCCGAUGGGUAGCUGGUUUGAGAGAGCGACCAGCCACACUGGGACUGAGAAACGGCCCAG
rnacentral:rRNA from 1 species